CCUACGGGCGGCUGCAGUGGGGAAUAUUGGACAAUGGGCGAAAGCCUGAUCCAGCCAUGCCGCGUGUGUGAAGAAGGCCUUCGGGUUGUAAAGCACUUUCAGUGGGGAAGAAAGCCUUGGGGCUAAUACCCUCGAGGAAGGACAUCACCCACAGAAGAAGCACCGGCUAACUCCGUGCCAGCAGCCGCGGUAAUACGGAGGGUGCGAGCGUUAAUCGGAAUUACUGGGCGUAAAGCGCGCGUAGGCGGUCUGAUAAGCCGGUUGUGAAAGCCCCGGGCUCAACCUGGGAACGGCAUCCGGAACUGGCAGGCUAGAGUGCAGGAGAGGAAGGUAGAAUUCCCGGUGUAGCGGUGAAAUGCGUAGAGAUCGGGAGGAAUACCAGUGGCGAAGGCGGCCUUCUGGACUGACACUGACGCUGAGGUGCGAAAGCGUGGGUAGCAAACAGGAUUAGAUACCCGUGUAGUC
rnacentral:rRNA from 1 species